UCUCACCUCACUGUUGUCUUCAUGCCUGCUUCAUUCAUCUCUUUUUGCAGAUUGGCAUCCUCUGCUUCUGCAGAAAACAUGGCUACCAACAGCUUCUGUAUCCACCUGCGGAGGAGACUGACUGCUCUGUUAUUCCCCCAGCAUCUGUGAAGAGGCUCUGACUGGCUAAAGUGUUGGUAUAGUGAUCACCCCAGGGUUAGGCAACCAUGGCUGGUGAAAAGGAAAAACGUUAUGAACCUGGCUGUGCGGAGCUACCUGAGGAAGCUUGUAGGAGAAGGGUCAGUUUGCAGAGAAAGGGGGGCCUGGGCAGAUGACGCAAGAGGUGCCCAUUACAUCCCUCUAGAGGAAGGAGUCUGUAGCUUUAGGGGAAGACAGAGCCACAAGAUGGAAGGAGCUUGGAUGUCUGAACUAUUCCAUGGAGAAAAGCUGCAGCCAACGAAGAACACCUGCAAUGGACUCUUAACCUGGGGGUGACGACAACCACUGAAAUGUGAGGGCUUAUUCGUUAGCAUUUGUCUAGCAUUACCCUAACUGAUAUCUAAUUAAUUUCCUUACAUCCUCAAACUUCUUGCCUUAAAUUUAAUCUCCUGCCUGUCCCCCAGGAGUUCAGUUCCCCUCAAGCUUCUGGAAGAGAGGCUGCUCAUUCUUCCACAACAGCCUAGACACCAUGGAGGCUGAGAGAUGGUACUGGCAUUUUCUUUUUUUUUUUUGAGAUGGUGUCUUGCUCUGUCGCCCAUGCUGGAGUGCAGUGGCACGAUCUUGGCUCACUGCAACUUCAGCCUCCCAGGCUCAAGCGAUUCUCUUGCCUCAGCCUCCCAAGUAGCUGGGAUUACAGGUGUGUGCCACAGCUGGCUAAUUUUUGUAUUUGUAGUAGAGAUGGGGUUUCACCAUGUUGGCCAGGCUGGUCUCUAACUGCUGACGUCAGGCAAUCCAUCCAUCUUGGCCUCCCAAACUACUGGGUGUGAGCCACUGCGCCUGGCUGUUAUUGGCAUUUUCUUAACUCCUAGUUGCAUUGUUCAGACCACUUCACAUGUGAAAUUAAUGCCAUCCAACUUUUUUUCCUAGUUGGUGUUCCACACACAGAUUGGCAUUGACAUUGUUAUAGAGCCUGCCUAUGCUCAGGGAGAGAAUUUGAGGAUGAAAGGGAAUAUUGGCAUCAGUGUCUAUGGCAACCUAAAGAAAUGUAUAUGAAUUUGCGUAUACAUCAAGCUCUCUAAUUACCAUGAGGAAAAACAUGAAUUCUUUCCCAGUCUGGUCCCUCUUAUUAGUCUCACUUUUCUUUCCCCCAUCCACCAACUGCAUCAUCUGUCCCAUUUCCAUGGGGUGUGUGGGCAGCUGAGGGAGAUCCAGCAUAAGACAUCAGUGCUGAAAACCCUAGCCUGGAAACACCAAAGGCCAAAUGAGACUCCAUCACAGAAUUUCUAACACAUAUAUCCAAGGUGCAAUGACCCAGUUUGUCAAACCUUUAGAUUAUGUGAUAAUUUACUGAUGAUUCACUUUAGAGAUUUGAAAAUAAAAGUACUUUUAUAUUUUUGUUUUUCUGAAAAUGGUCCCAAAGUUCAAUGAUUUUCUUGCAUAUCUCAAAUAUUACAAUGGGGUGAUUUAAGGCCAGCACAUUUUUGCAGGCUAUCUGAAAAGAACUUACUUUUCCAUAAAGCCCUCUAAGUUUCUUUGCCCUUAUUAGAUUUAUAGCUGAUUCUUUCAAAGCUGACUGUGACCUUGACCUGCAGACAAAAAUAGCAAAAUAUAAAUUUUGUGGAAGGCAGUAGCACUGUCUUUCUUGGAUAAAGUCUGCAUCUCCUACCAAGAAAAAAUCUAAGAGGUAUUGCCAAGCUAAUGCACAUGGUUAAAGUAACUGCCCCAUUGCCCCUUUUCUUUCUUUCUUUUAAUUUUUUUGUUCUAGGUUUACUGCACUUGCCUCUAGCAGUUAUGGAAUUCUAUGCCACUCAAAUCCUCUAUCUGUUGCAAAAAUGUGCAUCCCAAGAUGGUGCUCUUGAGCUGUGGUGCAGUAUCUUCAGACAGACACUGUGGGUCCCACAAUGAAGCAAUGGAGAAAAAAGACACCACUAAAGAACCACCAGGGUGCAGCAUUCCUGAGUGGCAGAAGCCAUGCAGGAAAUGGCAGUAUGUACAGCUGGCACUUUGAAGAACAAUGAAUUCCUUCAAGGCUCUGUGCAGACAUUUCAAACAGUGGAUACCAGACAGGCUUGGCAUAGCUUAGACUCAAUUAUAGCUAGAAUUAUUUUAUUUCUGGAUGCUGCAUCUUAGUCCAGGGAUUUUUAAAGUGUGGUUCCUGGAAGAGCUGGAUCAGAGUCAUCUGUGUUGAUGGUUUAACAUAAAGAUUUUCGAGCCCCAAGACUCAAGUAGGACAAGGAAUUUGAAUUUUUAAGCAGCUCACCUGACUUGUCUGUCCUCUAAUGUCUGAAGACAUCUGACCUCUGCUCUUUCAGUAAAAGCAACAAUGGUUUUAUGAGCAUUGUCGUCACAUCUCUCCACUCAAGGGAUCCUUCUCAUUUCUCCCAGCUGAGGUCACCCACAGCUGCUGCUUCUAACUGCUGGCUUCCAGCCUGCUGUCUGCCAGCUGGCUCUACCCUCUCCUAUAACACGGCAGAGAGUAGCUGUGGUCUCCUGCGUGCUCACCCUCUGCUCCCUUGGUCCUGCUCCAUGCUUUGGUCCUGCACUUAAAUUUUACAAGCAUACUCUCUUUCUCUUAAGAGAAACCUGAUACAAUUUCAAGGUGGAAUACUUGCAGUGAUGGUCAAGAUGAAAGAAUGAUUUUCAAUGCCAUUUAGAGGAAAUCUUGGGAUCAACUUGGGAAAAGACGGAGGCUCCUGGCUCUGAUCUUUGGGGACUUCAGAUUUUCUGGAUCAAGGUGAGUCUUCUUGAGGCUUUACCAAGGAAACAGGCAGUUUUAGAGUUGGCCUUAAGGAUGUUCUCUGGUGUCAUCAAAGAAAUGGAAAUGCAAAGCAGAGACAUGUGCAUUUAGAUAUGUGUAAGACUGUAGACUAUUUUUAGUGGAAAAUGGCUGCUGAGUGUGUGGAAAGAGUAUAAAAGAUUUCAGUGGGAAGAUUCUACAAUCAUUUGAGAUUCUCCAUUGCUGGAAAAUUCUCAAAUUAGGCUUAUGAAGGCAAUUUGAUUUAGCAAACAGCUCUCUGGACCAAGCAAAUCUUCUCAGCAGGGAUGGAAUUUGAACUGCACUUGUCCCUGGUUCUCACCUUCCCUGAGAAGCAGUGCAUCUGCAGUGUCCCAGGUGAUGCCCCCCACAGGCCUUGAAGCUUGUCUUCCAGAAGAGCCUUCAUUUCAGGGGCAGCAUUCCAGGAAGCACGCCCAUGAAACACUCAUGAGGAGGAACUGGGCUGCCAAUUAUGACUUGUCACUGCUCCAUCAACAUAAAAGCUCGGCAGCACUCAGAUGGCUCUUGAAAAUCUUUGAGAUAUAAUCUGAAAGGAGGUCCCAGUUUCUGCCCCGGGCUGUUUGCAUCAUCAACCUGCAAAAUUCCAAUCUUGGAACUUGCUGAGAUUUUCAUUCUGAGACUCUCUGCCCUGGGCCUUGAGGAUAGCCAGAAGAAUACUAUAUUUCUUCUGCCUCUCUUUCUCUUUCUAUCUAAAGAGGUCAGGAUUAUAUAUCCACUUUGCUGAAUAUAGAAUCAAACCCAAUUGCCAUCAGCAAGUGCUGUAUAUCACCUACCACACCUGGGACCAGGCAUCAACAAGACCUUGACAGGGCCAGAAGCCUCAAGCCCUCAUUGCCAAGCCCAUUAAAAUCAGGAACUCAAUCUCAUUAAGGAAGGAGUGCAAUGGAUAUAGCCAGACAGGAGGAUUUCCACUUCAGUAUUAUCCUGAAUAGUGAACAACCAUCUCUGCUUUUCUCAGGGAGAAAGAUGUGGUAACAGUCACAAUGAUAGUAGACGAUGGUGACUGUUUAAUUUGUCAUGGCUAACAUAUAUGGUUAGCAAAUUGAGUUUCCUUUUAGGUAUAGUCUGAAUUGAACUGAAGUUCAUUAUAAUUCCCCUAAGUUGAUCUGUGAGGGCAUUUUAGCCUUCUUGGUAAAAUUAAAUAAUAUCAGUCAAAAAGGCUGUUAAACCAAUUCUUACACUUGAAAGCUUCCAGUUAUUCUAAUAAUUUGGAAUCUGUGUCUCCCCCUCUGUGGCAAUGAGGCUGUUGCUUGCUUUUCCCAAGAGACUGUAUUGCAUCUUUCUUGUUUUCUGAGAUGAGAAACAACCUCAAGGUCAUGCCCAGUGAUAUGGUUUGGCUCUGUGCCCCCACCCAAAUCUCAUCCCGAAUUGUAAUCCCCACAUGUCGGAGGAGGGGCUUGGUGGGAGGUGACUGGAUUAUGGGGGUGUAUUUACCCCUUGUUUUCAUGAUAGUGAGUUCUCAUGAGAUUUGAUGGUUUAAAACUGUGUGGCACCGCCCCCUGCAAGCUCCCUCUCUCUCCUGCCACCAAGUAAGACGUGCCUUGCUUCUUCUUUGCCUUCUGCCAUGAUUGUAAGUUUUCUGAGGCUUCCCCAGCCAUGCAGAACUGUGU
rnacentral:lncRNA from 1 species